CAUGGCUAUAAAACUGUUUUUCUUCUUUUUCUUUUUUACCUUCUCAUGAGGAGGUUUUUUCGUUUUAAAAAGGAUAAAAAGACGAACAAAAAACCUCCCUAUCAAUGGGAGGUUUUUUUUU
rfam:Xenorhabdus bovienii SS-2004 chromosome, complete genome